rnacentral:tRNA from 1 species
CUGAGGGUGUAGCUCGGUGGUACAGCGUGUGCUUAACAUGCAUGAGGUCCUGAGUUCAGUCCCUGGCCUCAGA